rnacentral:rRNA from 1 species
UGGCUGUCGUCAGCUCGUGUCGUGAGAUGUUCGGUUAAGUCCGCUAACGAGCGCAACCCUCGCUGUGUGUUACAAGUGUCACACGGAACUGCCGGUCAUAAACCGGAGGAAGGUGAGGAUGAUGUCAAGUCAGCAUGACCUCUAUAUCCAGGGCUACACACACGCUACAAUGGUCUGUACAAUGGGUAGCCAAGCCGCGAGGCGGAGCCAAUCCUGAAAGCAGGCCUCAGUUCAGAUUGCAGUCUGCAACUCGACUGCAUGAAGCCGGAGUUGCUAGUAACCGCAGGUCAGCAAUACUGCGGUGAAUACGUUCCCGGGUCUU